rnacentral:rRNA from 1 species
GAUGAACGCUGGCGGCGUGCCUAAUACAUGCAAGUCGGGCGAACAGAUGAGGAGCUUGCUCCUCUGACGUUAGCGGCGGACGGGUGAGUAACACGUGGAUAACCUACCUAUAAGACUGGGAUAACUUCGGGAAACCGGAGCUAAUACCGGAUAAUAUAUUGAACCGCAUGGUUCAAUAGUGAAAGACGGUUUUGCUGUCACUUAUAGAUGGAUCCGCGCCGCAUUAGCUAGUUGGUAAGGUAACGGCUUACCAAGGCAACGAUGCGUAGCCGACCUGAGAGGGUGAUCGGCGACACUGGAACUGAGACACGGUCCAGACUCCUACGGGAGGCAGCAGUAGGGAAUCUUCCGCAAUGGGCGAAAGCCUGACGGAGCAACGCCGCGUGAGUGAUGAAGGUCUUCGGAUCGUAAAACUCUGUUAUUAGGGAAGAACAAAUGUGUAAGUAACUAUGCACGUCUUGACGGUACCUAAUCAGAAAGCCACGGCUAACUACGUG